GGUACGCUUACGUAAUCC
rnacentral:siRNA from 1 species